GGGNNGAGCUUANCAUGCAAGUCGGACGAUGAAGCCCUUCGGGGUGGAUUAGUGGCGAACGGGUGAGUAACACGUGAGCAACCUGCCCUUGACUCUGGGAUAAGCCUGGGAAACUGGGUCUAAUACCGGAUAGGACCCCUUGCCGCAUGGUGGGGGGUGGAAAGCCUUGUGCGGUCUUGGAUGGGCUCGCGGCCUAUCAGCUUGUUGGUGGGGUGAUGGCCUACCAAGGCGACGACGGGUAGCCGGCCUGAGAGGGUGACCGGCCACACUGGGACUGAGACACGGCCCAGACUCCUACGGGAGGCAGCAGUGGGGAAUAUUGCACAAUGGGCGGAAGCCUGAUGCAGCGACGCCGCGUGGGGGAUGACGGCCUUCGGGUUGUAAACCCCUUUCGGCAGGGAACAAGCCGCUUCGGUGGUGAGGGUACCUGCGGAAGAAGCGCCGGCUAACUACGUGCCAGCAGCCGCGGUAAUACGUAGGGCGCGAGCGUUAUCCGGAAUUAUUGGGCGUAAAGAGCUCGUAGGCGGUUUGUCGCGUCUGCUGUGAAAGCCCGGGGCUCAACCCCGGGUCUGCAGUGGGUACGGGCAGGCUGGAGUGCAGUAGGGGAGACUGGAAUUCCUGGUGUAGCGGUGAAAUGCGCAGAUAUCAGGAGGAACACCGAUGGCGAAGGCAGGUCUCUGGGCUGUAACUGACGCUGAGGAGCGAAAGCAUGGGGAGCGAACAGGAUUAGAUACCCUGGUAGUCCAUGCCGUAAACGUUGGGCACUAGGUGUGGGGGCCAUUCCACGGUUUCCGCGCCGCAGCUAACGCAUUAAGUGCCCCGCCUGGGGAGUACGGCCGCAAGGCUAAAACUCAAAGGAAUUGACGGGGGCCCGCACAAGCGGCGGAGCAUGCGGAUUAAUUCGAUGCAACGCGAAGAACCUUACCAAGGCUUGACAUGUGCCGGACCGUCCCAGAGAUGGGGCUUCCCUUCGGGGCCGGUUCACAGGUGGUGCAUGGUUGUCGUCAGCUCGUGUCGUGAGAUGUUGGGUUAAGUCCCGCAACGAGCGCAACCCUCGUUCCAUGUUGCCAGCACUUCGGGUGGGGACUCAUGGGAGACUGCCGGGGUCAACUCGGAGGAAGGUGGGGACGACGUCAAAUCAUCAUGCCCCUUAUGUCUUGGGCUUCACGCAUGCUACAAUGGCCGGUACAAAGGGUUGCGAUACUGUGAGGUGGAGCCAAUCCCAGAAAGCCGGUCUCAGUUCGGAUUGGGGUCUGCAACUCGACCCCAUGAAGUCGGAGUCGCUAGUAAUCGCAGAUCAGCAACGCUGCGGUGAAUACGUUCCCGGGCCUUGUACACACCGCCCGUCAAGUCACGAAAGUCGGUAACACCCGAAGCCGGUGGCCCAACCCCUUGUGGGAGGAGC
rnacentral:rRNA from 1 species